rnacentral:rRNA from 1 species
UGAAGUUAGGCUCGCACACCUGCUGAAUUUAAGCAUAUAAGUAAGCGGCGGACAAGAAACUAAACAGGAUCCCCAUAGUAAUGGCGAAUGAGCAGGGAUGAGCUCAGCAUGGAAAUUGGGGCCUGUGGCCUUGACUUGUAAGCUGGUGAGGUAUUGCCAACAGAGGCGCAGAUGUAAGUCUUUUGGAAAAGAGCAUCACUGAAGGUGAGAGUCCUGCUUGCCAUUUGCAGACCCCUGUGCACGGUGUGCCUACAGCGAGUCACGUUCCUCGGGAUUGGAGCGCAAAGUGGGUGGUAACUUUCAUCUGAAGCUAAAUAUUGGUUUAAGACCGAUAGGAAACAAGUACCAUGAGGGAAAGGUGAAAAGGACUUUGGAAAGAGAGUUAAAAGUGCCUGAAAUUGCUGAAAGGGAAGCGGAUGGAACCAGUGUGUCCUGGUGAGAUUGUCAUAUGCUAUAAUGAUUGGUUGCUGCUGCAUCGCAAGUGUUCUCGCAAUCAUUGAUCUGUAAGUGUGUGGUGUGUCUUGCCUUGAAUGUCAUCGUGGGCUUCUGCAUUAAGACAAUUCAAAGUUCAGGGUAAUAUGUUUGCGAAGGUAUGAAGGUGCUUUGCUAUGCUUAUGCAUAAGCUUCUCUUGUCUGUCUAGCUGCUGUACGAUGCCCCAGCCAUGGGAGCACGCAUAUAUGUUCUGCACAGCUGAUGACUAAAUGAUUCUAUUCGACCCGUCUUGAAADRUNDCU